AUUUUUCAAAUGAAUCAAAACAUCUUUGAUUGCUAACUCACAACAUCACUAGGACAUCACUUUCCCACGUCAAUGGAAUCAAAUAAUCGAAUGUGAUGUUGAAACAGAUACCUAAGGAAGUAACUCAUCAUGCUAUGAUUUUUAGUUUUCUUUUAGGUAGUCCACUGGUUCUUAUAUAAUAUAAAUCCUUGGUACACUAGCUUCUGCAUGUCCUAUACUGUGUUAACUUAUCUUGCACAGAGAAGCUACCUCCUCCGUAAUCUACUGGGCAGAGGAAAUGAACCUGGGAAAUGCGCUUGACUCUAAUGAUAUAUUUUCUAUUGACUCAGCUGUCCAACACCAGGAUGUGAUGGAAGUGGCCACGUGACAGGAAACUAUGCAUCUCAUCGCAGUGUUUCUGGAUGUCCUUUAGCAGAUAAGACUCUAAAAUCCCUCAUGGCUGCCAACUCUCAGGAGCUUAAGUGUCCAACCCCAGGCUGCGAUGGCUCGGGGCACGUGACUGGAAACUACGCUUCCCACAGAAGCUUGUCCGGAUGCCCUCGUGCAAGGAAAGGUGGU
rnacentral:sRNA from 1 species